rnacentral:ncRNA from 1 species
GGUGUGUUUUUCCGAACUGUCACCAUGUGGUGGCGUGCCUGGGACAUCCAGGAUAGGAGGCACACCGCUC